AUGAGAUUCCUGCGGUUCGAUAAAAAAGAAACCCGACGUGUGCGUCUGCAGGAUGACAGGUUUGCCCUGGUAUCGGCCACUUGGAACAAGUUUAUUCAGAACAGCGUAGCCUGUUACAAGCCCGGUGCCGACAUAACCAUAGAUGAGCAGCUGUUCCCCACCAAGGCCCGGUGCAGAUUUCUUCAGUACAUGGGGAAUAAGCCUGAUAAAUUUGGCAUCAAAUUUUGGCUGGCUGCUGAUGUCCAUUCGAAAUACAUGCUGAACGGGGUUCCGUUUCUGGGUAAAGAAGAGGCACGGAGCAGAGGUCAGCUCGUGGGAGAGAGUGUGGUGCUGAAACUGGCGGAGCCAUUCUUGGGAGAGUCGUUUACAUCCUUCCACUUCCAAUUCAGGAUUGGGGCUACAACAGUCUCAUUGAUUAUUAGUGAGACGUGUGAGGCCCUGCACCAGACCCUAAAGACUUCAAAAAUGGAAGAAGUUUGGAGGGAAAUUGCAGAGAACUUCCACAACAACCAUGGCCUCCUCAACAUUCCCUCCGCACGACCGCUUCCAGGCUCAGCAACUGAAGCUCCCUUUAUGUUUUUGGUAGAUGAUGCCUACCCUCUUUGUGGUGACCUCAUGAAGCCAAUCCCCGCCAAAUGGAUCAUGACCACCGAGUGUUCAACUAUAGACUCUCCCGAGCCUGUAAAGUGGUGGAGAAUUAAAUUUUUGCCAUUGUAUAAAGCAGUGGUUUUGUUCAACUAAGUAGUGAUGUAUUUGUGUUGAUUUAGAUGGAGAAUAUUAAUUAAUGGUGCCCACUGAUGGCUACAGUCGAUGCAUCAACUUUCUCCGUGCUGCUAACAACAGUCACAGCAGCACUGUCAUGGAUAUUUUCUUGGAUGCCAUUUCCAAAUAUGGAGUCCCUUCCAGGGUGAGGACUGACCAUGGAGGAGAGAACAAUAUAGUGUGCUUGUUCGUGAACUUGUUCAGAGGCACUGACCAGGGUAGAGCUCUUAGAGGAAGAGUCAGCGCUUUGAGAGACUCUGGAUGGAUCUAUGGCAUGGGGUGUCAAAUGUGUACAAUGACUGGUUUCAUUUUCUUGAGAGUGAAGGCAUUGUUAAUGUAGAUAAUGAAAUGCACAUGUGGUGUCUACAUCUCAAGAGUUAAUAAAAACUACCAAUUUUACACACCAGUGGUCCAAUCAUGGUUUUCGAACUGAGAGGCACCAGUUACCCCUGCAAAUCUUUUUCUGGGGUUGCCUGGCACAACAGAGGCUGCCAAGGACUGCAGUGCAGGAGAUAUUUGCAAGAAAAUCAUACUCCAGUGAAGGAAUGACUGGUCCAGCAGAACAAGUUGGUGGUGGGGGUCAUUCUGUAUCAAGAGUAGUACCUCAUGUGCAUUGGCCUGAAAGAGUCACUUUACCUCCAAACCAGUACACUAUGACUGAUAACCUCUAACCUCUGCAGGACAGCGGCCCUCCAGGAACAAAGUUGACUAGUCCUGGUUUAUUCCAUAAAAAGAUAUUAAUAAUAAAAUUGACUACAAUUGCUUUCAUAUAUACUUGGAUAUGUUUUUUUUUUGUGUGUGUGUGUGUCAUAUACAUGUUAUUUUACUGAUAGAAGCCCAGGGAUAACAAAUCAAAUAUGUAGUGUCAUCAAUAAACAACUGUUUUAUGUGAAAUCAGACAUCUGAGCUCCCCCAUAGUCAAAAUGGCAUGAUCAUAACACCCCGUGAAUAUUCGACUGUGAGAUUGGUAGUCGAAUCAGGCUCCUCGAAUCGAAGCAUCGAAUCGUCGACUAUCCGGGGUCACCCUAGUGUAGUAUAAUCUAAAUAUAUCAAAGAGCAGUAUUAAACAUGUAUAUUAAAACUGUUCAUAGCUCUGAUGGAUCAGGGGGCUCAAAACAAUGCUGCAGGUAUUUGCUUUGGGGAAGAUUCUGGUGGCCUCAUUCUCUUGAAGGUGCAGAAACUCUAGUUUGGGUUUCAAUGAGAAUACUAGUUAUAUCUAUAGUUAUAUAGAUUUGAGAUGAAGAGGGUGAGUAAAUGUGACAACAAAAUCUUAGGGUAAAAUAACACUAUCUAUCUAUCUAUCUGACAGGAAGUAUAACUAAUUUUUACUUUGAGUGCAAUAUUUACUUAAAACGAGGGAACAAAUUAGUAAAUCGAAUGCACAAUUUAAUGUUUUCUUCCUACAUGUCAUGUGCAGGGCUCUGGAAUUGCAGGCAAGAGUUUUCUGCCAGUCUUCUCCGUCAAAAAUAUUUCACACGAGUGGAUUCUCGUAUAAAACCACCUUCCUUAGAUGCCCCCUCGCCAAUUCCAUCAGCAUCUCUAAACACAUGGUCCAGUUUUGCCUCAGGUUUAAAUCAUUGACUCUAAUACUUUUUUCCCAGCAUAUUCAAUCUUGUGGUGUUAAUUUGGUUGGAAGCAAGUGCAAAUGUAAAAUGCACUUUUCUUAGCAUUGUAGUUAAUACUGAUUUGAGGUAAACACUGAAACAAUAUAAACAAAAUGCUAGUUUGUCUUUUGUUGUCACCAUUAAAGCGUGUCAAUCAACAAUAUAUUAAAUCACUCACCCAUCUUCAUCCAAAAUAUAAAUAUCUAUGAUUGGAACAGGUGGUUUAACUGAUUUAUACGUCACAUGUAAAGGAAGCAAUAAAAUAAUGUGAUGCUACCUACAUAUAUCUAAUGAAGAAUGAAAUGCACCAUUUCCUGUAUGUGAAGGAGUGAUCUUCCUAGUUGUCCACUAGCAAGUCAUUUACAGUGUUUUGGAACUGUACAACUAAUCCUCUGCUAUCCAUCUUUGGUACUCUGAGUUUCCGUAGAGUACUCAAACCUGGUAGAGGGAGGGCUAUGUAAAAUAAAUGUGCAUUUUGAAUUAACUUAAUGUUGAUGGGUGUGUGGUGGUAUUAUGACAUGUAGUGACAUGUGACAUUAACUUAUCGCUGGCACAUAUUUAACGUCUUGUGGCAUAUUGAAAAUUAUGUUUUAACGUUAAUACAGUGGUCAAACACACACAAAUACUCACCCAUUUAAUGUUCGAUACAAAGAACAAGUUUUAUUCCGUUAUUAUGUCACUAGAUGAAUGCACUCUGGGCAAAUAGGCCCUGUUGAGAAAUGCUAAACUACAUAGAUGGCUUGCUACUGCUAUAUAGGCAUGAUAACAUAAUCACUGCUUAGUGUGUGUGUCAGUGUUUAUAUGUUUGUAUGUAUGAGUCAUUGUAUAAAAUGGGUGCCAUUUCCCGCAAUUUUCUAAAUUUUCAUUAAGAACAAACCUUUUUUUUAAUUCUGCAACUUGGAAGAUAUGUUAGGGUGUAUUCACACCUGUCUUGCUUGGUUUGACUGAAUCGAACUUGAGUUCGUUUCCACUCUUGGUGUUGAUCUUUUGGGCAGGUGUGAAUACAACAAUCGCACUUGGGUGCGCACCAAACAACCGUACCGAGACCCAGCUGAAGAGGUGUUCUCAGUCCGCUUCCAAACGAACUCUGGUACGGUUCGUUUAAAGUGUGAAAAUGACCCCAACCUUGAUCUGACCCAAUUGCAGAAAUCACACUCUGAAACAGACAGCUUGCACGUGUAGUGCUGUUGUUUGCGUUUCAAUGGCUUAAAGGGUUACUCCACCCCAAAAUGAAAAUUUUGUCAUUAAUUACUUACCCCCAUUUCAUUCCAAACCCAUAAAAACUUUGUUCGUCUUUGGAACAGUUUAAGAUAUUUUUGAUGAAAAUCGGGAGGCUUGAGACUGUCCCAUAGACUGCCAAAUAAUUAACAGUGUCAAGGUCCAGGAAAGUAUGAAAGACUAGACCAUCUGUCAUCAGUGGUUCAUCUGAAUUUUAUGAAGUGUCAAGAAUACUUUUUGUACGCAAAAAAAUAAAAAUGAUGACUUUAUUCAACAAUUCGUCUCCUCUGCAUCAUUAGCGCCAUUUUGGAGAAUAUCCACUGAACGCAAACUUUGUAUGCUGUUCUGUGUCAGCCACACCACACGGAUGUGCUGUUGUUGUUCAAAUCAAAGCAUAAAUAAACGUAGAAAACGUAUCCGUGUGGUGUGGCUGACACAUUUUUCACAAC
ensembl:lncRNA